UUCGCCUUGUCAGUGUGCUAUCGGAAAUGGUUAAUGAUAAGAUAGAAAGUACACCAGAAGCAUAUAAUUAGCUUCGUGUUAGGCCUGAUGCCUUUAGAAAUCACCUCGACAUUCUGUUCCCUUAACACCCGGUUGACAUUUGAGGAGAAAUCACCUUCACAGCAGCUCAUUUAGACACAGGAGCUGUCACCAAAACUCCACCGCCCAACCGGGCCAGCCUGGUCCGGAGCAAGCCACAGAGAUUGGAAGAUUUGCAGCAGAAGGAGCAUUUCCUGGCCUUGGAGGUUGACCCUCUCGUCCCGCGACAGCAUGGCGCAAACCCAGCACUUUUGUGCAGCGCUGGGAGAAUGAGCAGGGAAAUGAAGCCGGGGUGCGAGACCUUGGGCUUUUUCUUUCGUGUAACUGUGGGACACUGGGGACCCGGGGCAUGAUUUUGACCAGGCAGUCGAUAGAAUCUACAACGAAUCUCGCACGCCGGUCAGGUUUAGUCGUUCGUAGAAAAGAGUUUCCGUGAAAGUGGGAGAAUCUGAUUUAUUUGGAAGAGAAAUGAAAACAGUAACAGAGGAUUACGCAAAAGCCUGCGUGCCUCCCCGUCGGGGAAUCGAACCCCGGUCUCCCGCGUGACAGGCGGGGAUACUCACCACUAUACUAACGAGGACCGGCUCUGAUUGGGGCUUUCAGGUCACCGCCUCCGAGAAGCCCUCCCGGAUCACGCCUCCCAACCUGACCCCAGCCCCUUACCGUUUACUGUUAGGGAACAAGGUCAUGUCUCGGGUGCAACUCCCCAAGCAGCCUAAGGUGUGGCAGAGAUGCUGACCACGUCAAGGCGUGUGGAGGACGCAACAGGCACAUUGCGACUUUCCUUCGGGCAGUGAGUGACUCAGAUCCGGCCUCCACGCAUGGCCACCAUUCCUGUGGCACCUGCUCAGCUUCAAGGGGUGAAGAGGUCAACAGGUGGGCGUCCAAGUUCGGCUCUACUUCCCUCCUUUUGG